rnacentral:rRNA from 1 species
GAUGAACGCUGGCGGCGUGCCUAAUACAUGCAAGUCGAGCGAACAGACGAGGAGCUUGCUCCUCUGACGUUAGCGGCGGACGGGUGAGUAACACGUGGAUAACCUACCUAUAAGACUGGGAUAACUUCGGGAAACCGGAGCUAAUACCGGAUAAUAUAUUGAACCGCAUGGUUCAAUAGUGAAAGACGGUUUUGCUGUCACUUAUAGAUGGAUCCGCGCCGCAUUAGCUAGUUGGUAAGGUAACGGCUUACCAAGGCAACGAUGCGUAGCCGACCUGAGAGGGUGAUCGGCACACUGGAACUGAGACACGGUCCAGACUCCUACGGGAGGCAGCAGUAGGGAAUCUUCCGCAAUGGGCGAAAGCUUGACGGAGCAACGCCGCGUGAGUGAUGAAGGUCUUCGGAUCGUAAAACUCUGUUAUUAGGGAAGAACAAAUGUGUAAGUAACUAUGCACGUCUUGACGGUACCUAAUCAGAAAGCCACGGCUAACUACGUG